AGCGAACGCUGGCGGCAGGCCUAACACAUGCAAGUCGAGCGGCCGUAGCAAUACGGCAGCGGCAGACGGGAGAGUAACACGUGGGAACGCGCCCUUCGGUUCGGAAUAACUCAGGGAAACGUGGGCUAAUACCGGAUACGCCCUUACGGGGAAAGAUUUAUCGCAGGAGGAACGGCCCGCGUCCGGUUAGCUUGUUGGUGAGGUAAUGGCUCACCAAGGCGACGAUCGGUAGGUGGUCUGAGAGGAUGACCAGCCUCACUGGGACUGAGACACGGCCCAGACUCCUACGGGAGGCAGCAGUGGGGAAUAUUGGACAAUGGGCGCAAGCCUGAUCCAGCCAUGCCGCGUGGGUGAUGAAGGCCCUAGGGUUGUAAAGCCCUUUCGGCGGGGAAGAUAAUGACGGUACCCGCAGAAGAAGCCCCGGCUAACUUCGUGCCAGCAGCCGCCGUAACAC
rnacentral:rRNA from 1 species